rnacentral:rRNA from 1 species
AGGCUGAGGUGUGAUGACGAGGCACUACGGUGCUGAAGUAACAAAUGCCCUGCUUCCAGGAUAAGCCUCUAAGCAUCAGGUAACAUCAAAUCGUACCUCAAACCGACACAGGUGGUCAGGUAGAGAAUACCAAGGCGCUUGAGAGAACUCGGGAGAAGGAACUAGGCAAAAUGGUGCCGUAACUUCGGGAGAAGGCACGCUGGUGUGUAGGUGAAGACCCUGCGGGUGGAGCUGAGACCAGUCGAAGAUACCAGCUGGCUGCA